rnacentral:lncRNA from 1 species
UGAAUUUAUUACAUUUAUAGUUGUACCAUGAUGAUCACAACCACAUUUUACAGCAUUUCCGUCAGACACCCCCAGUGCGUCCCCCCACCCCCCAACCUGUCUCCUUUGGAAACCAUAAGUUUUUCAAAGUCUGUGAGUCCGUAUCUGUUCUGCAAAGAAGUUCACUGGGUCCUUUUUUCAGAUUCUGCAUGUCAGUGAAAGCGUUUGAUGUUGGUGUCUCACUGUCUGAGUUCACUUAGCAUGAUAAUUUCCAGGUCCAUCCAUGUGGCUACCAAUGCUGUUAUUUCUUUCCUUUUCAUGGCUGAGUAAUAUUCCAUUGUGUAUAUGGACCACAUCUUCUGGAUCCACUCCUCUGUCAAUGGACAUUUAGGUUGUUUCCCUGUCUUGGCUAUUGCAAAUAGUGCUUCAGUGGACAUUGGAGUACAUGUGUCUUUUUUGAGUCAUGGUUUUCUCUGGAGAGAUGCCCAGGAGUGGGACUGCUGGAUCAAAUGGGAGUUCUAGUUUUAGUUUUCUGAGGAAUCUCCAUCCUGUUUUCCACAGUUGUUGCACCAAUUUACAAUCCACCAACAGUGUAAUCGGGUUCCUUUUUUUCCAUACAUUCUUUUUUUUUCAUGUUCUCUUCCAUCAUUUUGUACCCGAAGAGACCUUAACCCGCUGAGCCACAGUGGGAACUCUGUGAUUAUUUUAAAAGGACGGCAAGCAGGUGAAGGCCCUAGAUAGGGCUGUGGGUGCUGUGGGAUCUCAGACCAGGGCUGAGGGGUUCUGGCUGGAGAUGGACUUUCCCUCAAACCCAUCACCCUCCCUAUUGUCACCAGAUCUGGUGGGCUUCCCUCUGUCCCCCCCAAAUGUGGGGAACAAGUCUCUUCCCUGGGUGUCUGGGAGGAGAGAAGGUCUUUGUUCCGCUAAGGUCUAGGAAGAGUAGAGAAUUGGCUGGAGGUCACAGAAAGCCACCUGGGUCAGUGUGGUUGGCAGGGGGCCGCCCCAUCCAUGCAGGUGAAACCCAGCAGGGCCCUGUGGGCUCCUGGGCACAUGUGUCCCCCAUGUCUGGUUUCUAGGGAAUACGCUUCACCCUCCAGGUUCUUCCCUGAGCCCCAAAGGGCAGGUGCCCACAGGUGCUGAUCAGGGAAGGGAGGGGAUGCAGAGACCCCGAGGGGCUGUCAGGAGACCACCGUGCCGCCUGGGGGCAGGUCCUGGUCCCCCCUCAAGGGAUACACACAGAACAAUCUUUGAGGUCUUCUGCAGAAUUAAACCCCCAACAGAUGGAAGCCAGAGGGGAGGACCCCCAGGACCUGGCCCGGGGCCACUAAACACCAGCUCUGGAGAAGAAUACAAGCUUGCACCCACCCUCAUCCUUAUCUGAGGCCUUAUUUUCCAUGCCCCAAAUUAUAAAGCCCCCUGCUAAUCACUUCCAAGGGGGGCACAGUCUUUGAGGCAUGAGCCUGCUGUGGCCCCCUUUGCCUGGCAAAGCAAUAAAGCUAUCUUUUUUCUCCUUCCCCCAAAACUCUGCCUCUGCAUUUCUACUCACCAACCGCAGACAGAGGCUGAGUUUUGGCAACACAGGGAGGGUGGGGGUCCCCAGGGGCCAGUCGUUCCCUAGCUCAGGAAGCAGAACAGACCUAUGGGGGUGACUGGGGACCGUUCAUCCUGAGCAGGGGGGUGCAGAGCUGAUGGGGACAGAGUACCAGGCCAGAGGAGGUGAGGAAAUAGCCAACCCACUAGGGGAUUGUAGGUAGGGAAGAAAAGCAUGGAAGUGAGUUAAGGGUCACUUGAGAAAUCAGGCUGGUUUAGCAACAAAACCACGCAGGCUGGCUUAGCAACAAAACCACACAACAGAAGCAUGCGAUGUGACCCCAGACAAUAAAACAGUGGUGAAAUACACCCACAUCCUGCCCCGUGAGGUCAGCAAGUUAAUGAUUCCUUUUCUUUUAUUUUGCUUUUUAGGGCCACACCUGCGGCAUAUGCAAGUUCCCAGGCUAGGGGUUAAAUCAGAGCUGCAGCUGGUGGCCUACGCCACAGCCACAGCAAUGCCAGAUCCAAGCCGCGUCUACAGCCUACACCAGAGCUCAUGGCAACGCCGGGUCCUUAACUCAGUGAGCGAGGCCAGGGCGCAAACCCACAUCCUCCUGGCGACUAGUAGGAUUCCUUUCUGCUGUGCCACCCUGGGAACGCCAGCUAAUGGUCCUUAAGAUGUGCUUCUCUGCCUGCACUCAAAACAAAAAUAUCAGGAGAAGUGACAUUCUGGUGGAUCCUGAGUUGAUUCACCUUAUUUUCAUGUUACCGCCUUUUUGCUCAUCGCCACUGUGCGUGACAGCCCGAGUCUGACAACAGGCUCCUCCAUCUGGACGUGGAGGAGCUGCUGACGGAAGCUUGACGUCUACUGAGAAUGAGGGACAUGGCUCUUCGCCCCGUCCCACUUUUCCUGCGAUGAUAAUCCUGUAGCCACUAAGGUCUCUUGGGCCGCCCGCUUGUACCCUCACAAGCAUCCUAGCACCUCUUUCCUUACUGGUCACUCUGCCUCGAGCUGAAUGCUUUCUGUGCCCAGCCAGGAGAUGCUCUACCUUGCUAAGUAAGCCCUGAGAUGCAGUCUGUGGGUUUCAGAGUCACGCUGGACAGGAGUGUUGACUAAAAAAAAUGCACAACCUAAAAGUUGCGAGUUAAGUUUUCUUUGGGGCAAAAUGAGGACUGAAGCCCAGGAGGCAGCAUCUCAAGGAGCCCUGAGAAACCUCUCUGAGGAGAUGGGGGGCGGGGGAGCCAGGUGAGAGGAGUUUUUGCAACCAAAGGCAGGUAGUAGGAACAAAAGAUUUGCAGAAAACCAGCUCUCUCGAGUUAAGGAAUCUAGUGCUUUUCUAUGGGAAGAUGCAAAAGGUCAGUGAAAUCAUUCCUUUGCCAUGCACCUCAGCUAGGGGGCCAGUGUCUUGUGUUUUCACAACCUGAGUUUCCGCGCGGGGCUCCUGUUUGGCGUGGCUGCAGUCUGCUGGCUGCUAGAUGGCAGGUGUGCUUUGUUUCCGUCCUGAGAUCCCUCAGGGCUCACCCGCUCAGCCUUGGGAGUGGCUGCACUCUCCCAUGACUGUGACAUCCUUUGAUCUAUGUGAAGAAGGGGAAGGGGGAGGUGCCUGCAGCCAGGCAUACAUUCUACAGAAGGGCGCUGCUGGUCCCGUGAAGGUCACUACGAGUCACGAGGAGCAGAUGUCACCAUGAAGGAUGUUAGUGCUUUUCUAGAUACGAGGAGAUGCAAGACCUGGGCACGUAAAAUCUUCUCCUAAGAGAGGUAUCUAUCUGAAGCCCUGUUCUGCUGGUUUUCCCAGAGCACAGAGCACCCCACUCCUGGUCCCCACCCUGAGCUCCUUCCACGGGGUGUGGAGGGUCGGCCCCUGAAGCGGCUCAGGAUUCAGUCUGCGUUGAGGAGGUGGCAUGUGAUGGCAAGUGAGACUUUCCAGUUCACAGGGACACACAAAGUUCAGUGUCCCAGCAUCACUGCCUGAACUGGGGACCUGGGCAGGUGCAUGCAGGGCAUGUGUGAGGUUCCUCUUACUGAGGGAACAAGUCACCACGACAGAGCAGCCCCAAUUAGCACCAAAUGGUUAUCUUACUAGUUACCUUCCAGUGUCAGACCUCUGACCCAGGUGUCACUGGGCUAAAAGUGAGGUGUCACCAUGCCUCCCCAUUGCCUAGUGAGGGGGACAAACCACAGAGGUGAGUGUGGGCACACACGCAGAAUUGACUUACAAGAGACAUCGGUCACAUCGCAGGCAUCUGAGGAAUAUAAGCUGCUCCCACAUCUGGCUCCGUGCCUGACGUUAAAAUGUUCUCUCUGCGCCUCUGAUCACCAUUUGCUAAAUUAGUCUUUUAAUUGGGCAGUAAGACAAGGCACCCCAAAGCUUGCUCAACUCCAUAAAGGUUCUCUCCCCUUCACGCUGAUGAGUCAGACUCUGCUUUUGUUCAGGGCAGCCCAUGUGCAUUUCUCAAUUUCCAGUGGUUUCUGUGGACGACUGGUGGGGGCAGGAUUUCUGGGUUCAGGCUUCCAACACCCUGCAGCAAGACAGACUCAGGUGGGAGGAACAUGCUUCUGCUUCCAUUCCUUCCUCCUUUCUGCUGCCUGGGAUGUCUGCAUAUUGCCUGGAGCAGUGGCAGCCAUGCUGAGGCCACGAGGUGAAAGAUGGCAACACAGGGAGUUGGAAGGAGGCUGCCAGCCCUGGGUUGCUUCCCUCAGAUGAGGUGGGAUAUAACAUACUUCCUGCUUGUUUACAGGAUUUUUUUUAUUGCUGGUGUGUGUUACUAGUGGCUCAAAACACUCUCUAACCAAAGAAAUGAGGACACACGGGCAGUGGUCCUAUGUUAGCUGAAAAGAGAAGGUACGAAUGCUUUUGCCUGCCAUUUCAUAGGGCUAUUCGUGGAGCCAGUGAGAUCCCAAAUGAGCUUUCAGAUUGAUGGGCGGGAGUUCCCUGGUGUCUCUGCAGCAGCUUGGGUUGCUCCUGAGGCAAGGUUUUGCUCCCUGGCUUGGGAACGUCCAUAUGCUAUGGGUGAUGCCAGAAAAAAAAAAAAAAAAUGGAUAUUGGCAUGCCAGAGCUCUUCCUCUGUAAAUUUCCUGUAUGUCAAUUAAAAAUAAUAAAAGUAGGAGUUCCUUUCAUGGCUCAGUGGUUAACGAACCCAACUAGGAUCCAUGAGGAUGCGGGUUCAAUCCCUGGCCUUCCUCAGUAGGUUAAGGACCUGGCGUUGCUGUGAGCUGUGGGUGUAGGUUGCAGACACAGCUUGGAUCCCGAGUUGCUGUGGUUGUGGCUGUGGCCGGCAGCUGCAGCUCCCAUUCGACCCCUCGCCUGGGAACCUCAGUGUGCGGCUCUAAAACAAAAUAGUAAUAAUGCAAGUAAUAAUUCCUUGGGUGCAUGUGGGACCAUGGGAAUCUUGGACAAUCUGCUUUUUUUCAGUUUAUUUAUUUAUUUAUUUUUAUUUAUUUAUUUUUU